GCGCAGUGACGUCAAGAGCAGCUGGAGUCGGGGAUUACCCCCUGCUGCUGACGUGAGGACGGUGAACAAUCGGGGAACGUUCGGUGGAAGGGGGAAUUCCCCGCCGCUCCCAGAGGAGCCCCUCCUCCCGCCCCUCCCCCACCCGGGGCCGACCCGGAGGCUGUGAUGGUGGGGCCACCGAGCGGGUGAGGGGAGAAGGCUGAGCAGGGAAGCGGCCGCACGAGCUGUAGUGGCGCGCGCAACGGCGUCUUCCCGGCUGGACGCUCGGAGGAGCCGCGGCGCGCGCCCCUCGCCUGGUACCGCGCUCGGGCCUGGGCGGAAGGGAGAUCACAUGCUUGCCUGUACACAGCCCUGCGCGGGCGGAACGCUGGUGGUGCAGGCACAGGGCUAAUUGGGCGCCCUGAAGCAAUGGAUCCAUCAUCGAAUGCAAAUAUGAGUGUGUCAGACAUAAACAAUUUGUACCGGAGUCCAGUGGCUGAAGAAAGGGGACUAACUCGUUCUGCUUUCCAAGGUUUCAGUUACAGUAAACCAGGAUCCGGAAGUAGAGGAUCCUCUGAUGUAUCAUCAGAAGGUCAGUAGUAGUCUAACUCCACGUCACAAUGCCUGUGUCCUUCACCUCAUUUCAUCUCCUCACAGAGGCAUUUUAUCAUCUCACAUCACCACAAGAAGGCCACCCAGCUGCCCUACUUUUUAUUGAGAUUUUACCCAGAACUUCAAUAUAUAGAUGAUAAAAGUUGAACUUCUCUGCUUCAAGCUGAGGUGAGAGUUUGGGAGCACCACUCAUACAGAAAGAAAAAGGAAACUGCAGAGAAGAAUAAGAAUGAAUAGUCAAAGGAGUAAAAGAAUCAGGAGAAGGUGGAGGGGGGACGAUCUGAGUCAAGAAAGUAAAGUACUUCAAGGAGGUCAAGAGCAUCAGAUGCUGUGGUGAGUCCACUGGUUUUUAGCAAGGAAGAAGCCACUGCUGACUUUGGCACGAGAUUUGGAGAAGUAAUGAGGGCAGAGGAUAGAGUGUGGGUAGAAACCAUAGAUUAUGUUUCAGUGAGCUGACUGUAAUGGAAAGAAAAGACAUGGAGAUAACUAAAAGGGAAUAUUUGUCUGUUUAACCUAGAUGGGAGACACUUGAGCCUGUUUACAGAGUAGGGAAGAAAAUAAUUUGAUAGAAUUUAAAGACACUUGAGAAACAUUCAUUGAUCAGUUAAGGUUUCUAGGAAUGGGGGAGAGAUAGAUGCAGUGCUUAGUUGAAUAAUUACCUUCUUUCACUGUGGUGAGAGGGGACAUGGUAAAAAAAAA